UAAAAAGCAAGUGUGUUUUGCUUUUGAAUGAUUAAUCUUAAUCCAAUUUUUUUUCCAGGUUAAGCAUGAAUUUUCUUUUCCAGCACUGUGCCAAGUUUUUACUCUUUGAAGAUAUCAUUAAAAACACCUCAAAGUUCCUCUGCCUCACACAAUGUUGUUUUCAGGAAUUGCUUGAAGGCAGAUAUAUUAACCUGGAUGAUAAUUCCAUUUCAAGAGGAAGAAUGAAGGACAAAAUUGAAUGUGCACCGUUCCUAAGUUUCAGGAUCAUCUUGCUCAGUGUGAAGGCCAGAGUCCAAGAGGUCAGAGCACAUAGAUGGGGAAGAAUAUCUGCUGGCAUGUUGCAGUGGUUGAAAAUAACAACUGAACAGUUGGAGCAAUCCUCUUCAUUGUAAAAUGGACCCAUCAGCACAUUUUGGUAAUUUGUUGACCUCUCAGGAAAAGUCUGAUGUUAAGCACUAAAGAUGGUCCAGGUUGUGGAUUGCAUGAG